CACAGGUGAGAAAAUACAGAGCAUGUUUGGUCGACACAUCCAAAAUGUCUCCGAUAAAGGACUUCAGAUUGAUUUACGAACCUCUCAACGAAGAGAACUUAUUUUCUGAAGGAGAUGCUGUCAAAGGAACAGUCAUUAUUACUUUGACAAAAGAAACAAAAGUGAACAGCAUUUUCGUUAAAGUGAAAGGGGACGCGCGUGUGAACUGGUCAAAGCAAAGUGGAGGUGUUGAGGUAGUCUUCAAACACCACACAAGAUUCUUCAAAGACAAGGAGUACCUAGUGAAAGAAAAUGCUGGAGGCACUCUACUUCCGAAAGGAGUCCAUCGCUUUAAGUUCGGGCUUCAAAUCCCCCAGGGUGACAUGCCGUCAUCCUUCAAGGGGACUUAUGGAAAGAUCGUCUACAUGCUUGAAGCAAAGCUGUCCAGGAGCUGGAGGUGUCCUGUUACAAUAGAAACGAAGCUCAGUUUUGUGUCAAAGUCUUUAUCGUUCCGUGGCAAAAUCGUAUAUCCCCGCUCUGAAUCAGUGCAAAAAGAGAUUGGGGUUUUCUCCCCAGGACAGAUCCGAAUGAUGGCUAUUGUUGACAGACCGGUUUGCUCUCCAGGUGACACUGUAUCUGUUGUUGCCAAAAUCUACAACUCUUCUUCCAAAAAAAUGAAGCCCAAAGUCAGUCUGCAGCAGGAUAUAGUGUACCCGGCCAAAGAGACCCGUAUGACCUGCAACAAUAGGCUUUGGCAAAUUGUUGGGGACACCAUCGAACAGAACACAGAGGAAACUUUCUCCUGCCAAGUGAAGAUUCCUGGCGAUGUCUUCUACACCAUCCAUAACUGUAACAUCAUCUCAGUCCAAUAUCACCUCAAGGUGUAUUUGGACAUCAGUUUUGCCAUUGACCCAACGGUGAUGCUUCCACUGGUCAUCGUUCCUCGUAGCUUUGCUGCCCUUAGCCCUGCUGAUGUUCUGCGACUCCUCUUGACUUAAAUAUCAGUGGCCACAACAGGCCACUCAAUACGGUUUUCCAACUGCAGCUUUCCCACCAUUUAAGAGCAGCAUCAAGGGUUAGGGUUGUCCUUCAUUCAGUCCAUCUCAUUUUCACAUAACAAUUACUUAAUCUCCCUUUGACUGGACUGUUGUUUUUUUCUAUAUGCAAACUUUAAGAUGACCCAGAUGGAAACCAACAGAUGUGAAAACAGUGUUAAACAAAAGCUUUUAAUAUUUUAUAGAGAAGAAAUAGAGAAGCCAUUUUGACAUGAAAUAGGUGUCUCCAAUGAUACUAAACUUAAGGUUGAGGUGCUUAAGGUUUCAUUCCAGAUAUUAGAACAGAGACUUUCCAGUAAGCUAAACAUGCACAUGACCUGUACUCUGUUUGACCUGAAUGGAACGAAACCUUAAUUUGUGUCAUUAGUAACACUUGUUGUUGACCUACUAUUUCAUGUUAAAAUGGCUGCUGUGAAAAAGGUCCACUGUUAUGAGUUGCGGACAAAAUGUGGACUUUCAUUUUAAUUGAUUUUGGCUGUAAAAUAUUUAAUUCAUCAAAUUUAGUUUUAGUCUUGAAAUAUUGACAGAUGAGGACAUUUGAGCUAUUUAUUAUGCAAUAAAAUAUUUUCUGAAAUGUGAAACUAUAUUCUGUAUUUGUACUACUGUUUGAUAUUUUUACAGUUAUGUUAUAUAAAGGGAAAAUUUAUGUACAGACAAUGUAUUUUAUAUGUAGUGCUCAUAAAAAAAAUGUGCCCCUUAUUCAUUUCACUUUGUUUUUAUAUUAGAAGUACUUUCUGCCUUUUGACUGAACUGGUUCUACUUUAAGCUUUAAGUUAACCCUGAUGCAAACCAACAGACAUGGUUGCCAGUGGUAAACAAAACCAAUAUUUUACUCUAUUAAAGAAAUAGACCUUUUUCCUCAGGUGAAAUAGGUAAGUCAUCACAUGUGUUUCUAAUUUCACUAAUGUUUCACCAACAUGCACAUGACCUAGACUGUUUGACCUGAAUGGAACGAAACCUUAAUAAGCGUCACUGGAAACACCUGUGUUAACCUACAGUUUCAUGUCAAAAUGUCUGCUGUGAAAAAGGUCUGUUGCUAUGAGCUGCAGACAAAAUGUGGACUUUUUCCAUUUAUUGAAAUUACUUAGGUAUUAUUUUUUUUACAAUCAUGUUAUAUAAGGGAAAUACAUUUACAGACAAUGUAUUUCAUAAUGUAGUACCCAUAAAAAUGUGCCCCAUAUUCAUUUAACUUCAUUUUCACAUAAUAAUUACUGUAUGCCUUUUGAGUGAACUGGUUCUCUUCUAUAUGCAAGCUUUAGGUUGAAUUAUUUCAUGUGUGAGUGUUUUAACUGUUGCAGAUAUUAUUGAAAUAAAAACACACUUUGUUACAGCAUACGGUUUGAAUAUUUCUGUGUCCACCGAAUCUAUUUAUUUUGUCUCACACAUACUUUGUGGUGCAUCAUGAGAGAGGAAAAACAUCAUGUGACCGCACAGGCCACAAAAGCUGUCCCAUUCCUCACAGUAACGAGUGGGCAAUCCUAUUCAGCCGGGAACUCUGUUUUCUCCUUAUAACAGAUUUAUGCUCUUUAAAUCUAAUUUGUAGUCAGUGGAGUUGUAGCACGCUGGCUGUAAACACAUUUUCCUACUUGCCAUAGUGGUAAACAAGGAGUAGUGUGAAACACAGUAUAAACAAUACACCAAAAGUAUAUGCAAAAAUGCCACAUGAUCUUCCAUAAGUCACCCACAAAGCAUUUCAGUGGAAAGCAGCACUUUGGGAGACCAUGCAUGUCCCCUCUGAAGAGUUAUGAGUAGGAAUGCAUGGGCUCUGCAUUCAUCCAUCCAAGUGAUGGAUGUUUGAGGGAGGUGGCAUCAAAGUUUUGUGCCCACCCACUUGCACUUGCUCCGGUUGCACAAUGCAUGCAAGCCGGAUUACCGCGGAACACCCAAAACUAUCUGCGCCUGUUAUCAGCAUCGCCAUGGGAAGAAGGUUUCCGUGUGUGUGUUUGCUUGUUUUAGUGAUUUUCAAAGAGGCGUCUGGCUUAAAGAUUCAGAACAAGCUGCUGGGUAAAUGUCUGCAGGUGCAGGAAGGAGCUUUUGGAGGCAGGGUGUCUCUGGCUGACUGCAGCCCGUAUUCGGACUUGCAGGAAUGGCGGUG